rnacentral:rRNA from 1 species
UAGAAGACAUCUGAAGGAAUUAAAGAUUUAUCGGUGAUGGAUGGGGAUGCGUCUGAUUAGCUUGUUGGCGGGGUAACGGCCCACCAAGGCGACGAUCAGUAGGGGUUCUGAGAGGAAGGUCCCCCACAUUGGAACUGAGACACGGUCCAAACUCCUACGGGAGGCAGCAGUGAGGAAUAUUGGUCAAUGGACGAGAGUCUGAACCAGCCAAGUAGCGUGCAGGAUGACGGCCCUAUGGGUUGUAAACUGCUUUUAUAAGGGAAUAAAGUGAGUCUCGUGAGACUUUUUGCAUGUACCUUAUGAAUAAGGACCGGCUAAUUCCGUGCCAGCAGCCGCGGUAAUACGGAAGGUCCGGGCGUUAUCCGGAUUUAUUGGGUUUAAAGGGAGCGUAGGCCGGAGAUUAAGCGUGUUGUGAAAUGUAGACGCUCAACGUCUGCACUGCAGCGCGAACUGGUUUCCUUGAGUACGCACAAAGUGGGCGGAAUUCGUGGUGUAGCGGUGAAAUGCUUAGAUAUCACGAAGAACUCCGAUUGCGAAGGCAGCUCACUGGAGCGCAACUGACGCUGAAGCCCGAAAGUGCGGGUAUCGAACAGGAUUAGAUACCCUGGUAGUCCGCACGGUAAACGAUGGAUGCCCGCUGUUGGUCUGAACAGGUCAGCGGCCAAGCGAAAGCAUUAAGCAUCCCACCUGGGGAGUAC